rnacentral:rRNA from 1 species
AAAGCAGGGGAUCGUAAGACCUUACACUUGUGGAGCGGCCGAUGUCUGAUUAGCUAGUUGGUGGGGUAAUGGCCUACCAAGGCUUCGAUCAGUAGCUGGUCUGAGAGGACGGCCAGCCACACUGGGACUGAGACACGGCCCAGACUCCUACGGGAGGCAGCAGUGGGGAAUUUUGGACAAUGGGCGCAAGCCUGAUCCAGCCAUGCCGCGUGAGUGAAGAAGGCCUUCGGGUUGUAAAGCUCUUUCAGCCGGGAAGAAAAGGUUGCGAUUAAUAAUCGCAAUUCAUGACGGUACCGAAAGAAGAAGCACCGGCUAACUACGUGCCAGCAGCCGCGGUAAUACGUAGGGUGCGAGCGUUAAUCGGAAUUACUGGGCGUAAAGGGUGCGCAGGCGGUUUUGUAAGUCAGAUGUGAAAUCCCCGGGCUUAACCUGGGAACUGCGUUUGAAACUACAAAGCUAGA